UACGUAGGGACCAAGCGUUGUUCGGAAUUACUGGGCGUAAAGCGCACGUAGGCGGACCGAUAAGUCGGGGGUGAAAUCCUGGAGCUCAACUCCAGAACUGCCUCCGAAACUGCCGGCCUUGAGUUCGGGAGAGGUGAGUGGAACUGCGAGUGUAGAGGUGAAAUUCGUAGAUAUUCGCAAGAACACCAGUGGCGAAGGCGGCUCACUGGCCCGAUACUGACGCUGAGGUGCGAAAGCGUGGGGAGCAAACAGG
rnacentral:rRNA from 1 species